GUUGAACGCUGGCGGCAUGCCUAACACAUGCAAGUCGAACGCGUCGCAGACGUGUGUGUAAUGUCUGGAAACCUGCCUUAUGGAUGGGGAUAACUACUGGAAACGGUAGCUAAUACCGCUUACCAUCAGCUUUUCCCUGGUGGGAUUAGCUAGUUGGUGGGUUAUCGGCUCACCAGGGCGACGAUCCAUAGCUGGUCUGAGAGGAUGACCGGCCACACUGGAACUGAGACACGGUCCAGACUCCUACGGGAGGCAGCAGUGGGGAAUAUUGCACAAUGGGCGAAAGCCUGAUGCAGCCAUGCCGCGUGUAUGAAGAAGGCCUUCGGGUUGUAAAGCACUGUCAGCGGGGAGGCGUUACCCGCAGAAGAAGCAACGGCUAACUCCGUGCCAGCAGCCGCGGUAAUAC
rnacentral:rRNA from 1 species